rnacentral:snRNA from 1 species
GGAUGUGAGGGCAAUCUGGCUGCAACAUCUGUCACCCCAUUGAUCGCCAGGGUUGAUUCGGCUGAUCUGGCUGGCUAGGUGGGUGUCCCCUUCUUCCCUCAGAGCUCCAGUGUGUCCCUCCCGAAGCUGUAUGAUUGGUAGAAGAGGAAGACCAUCCCCAAUAAAGGAGGACUGUUCUUUCGGUCAAGAGUACAUGAGUAGCUCUACUCCCCUGCUAGGACCUCUAAAAAAAGCUUCUUUUAAGUGAAUUUUAUGGACAUUUUAUAACCUGUGAAAUAAUGUCUGCAUAUUAUAGCA